CUGACUGUCUGCAAACUUGUCUAAUUUGUUUCACUUUGCUGCUGUCUUUACAGCUUCUGCUUAUUUCCUCUGCCUGCACCUUAUAUUUGUUGUGUUUAUCGAGACCUGGCCUGUCUCUGCCUCGUUGAAGACAAAUGGACACAAGUACUGGUUGCUGUUGGUUUGUUUGGUUUGCUCAGUCUGAGCGUGCUGCAGAGCACUUGACCACUGCAGCAGUCAAGCAUGCUGUAUAUUGGGCAGUGCCAGGAAUUGCGAGAUCGAGACAGGCUGCCACUAGAAGUUCCUUGGGCCAGAUAAGGGAGGCAGCUUUUGCAUCUGCAACAGAACAUUGGUGGAUGUUGUGUGAAGCACUUUCUCCAUGCUUUUUCACUACCUGAGCAAGGUAACUUUCUUGGUGCUUCAUCACGCAAUUUAUACAAUCAACUUCCAUUAAUUCUACCCUCACGAGACUGACGGGUCGAAUUAAGAUGCAAAAACCUGCUGAAGCACCGUUGAUUCAUUUGGCAAUAUGUGCUUGAGUAACACGCCUCUGAAACGAAUGUGCAUCAAAUUUCUAUUUGUCCACAGUAUAAAACUAAAGUAGAAAUGACUUAACUCCAAACCAAAGUAGAAACCUACGCGUACCUCAUUUUUUAGAAUGCCAGCUGAUUUUCCAAAGCCAGCUUCGCCGUAUUACAGCCAUGAUAUGUGGUAAAGCAUAUGAAUGGUGCAACCACGGUUUUAGUUUCGCAAUCGAUUGCACAGCUAGGCAAUUUUCGUCUCAAUGUCCUUCGAAAACAAAAAGUGUUCGUUAGAAUCAGAUAAGUACCACAAUCGGACAUUGUCAGCUACCGUUACUGCUUGAAAAUCUUUCUCGGGUGGGUCAAAAAUAGGCAUUUCAGAGAGAUGGCAUUUGUUUAACGCAUUCACUGUCCCCUAAGCUCUACUGAGACAUGGGCUGCCACUAAAAGGGGUCAUUAUUGGGGUCUGGUCAAGUUUGCAUUAUCCGGCGAAUGCCAGUUUUAGGAUCGAAAUGAUGAAUGUUUAAUUCCAUAGAAAUGCAUGGGCGUCGGCCAGGUUCGAAUUAACUGAAAAAAUUAAGUUAACUGGAGUCAGAUUAUUGGAAG